GCGUAUAUUAAAGUUGUUGCAGUUAAAAAGCUCGUAGUUGAAUUUCGGGCUCCCGGCGUCACCGCUUCAUUGCGGGGGCACGGGGGCCCUCCUCGCCUUAGGGCGUCAUUUACUGUGAAAAAAUUAGAGUGUUCAAAGCAGGCAAUCGCUUGAAUACAUUAGCAUGGAAUAAUAAGAUAGGAUUUCGUCUAUUUUGUUGGUUGCGGACGACAAUAAUGAUUAAUAGGGAUAGUUGGGGGUGUCCGUAUUGAGCUGUCAGAGGUGAAAUUCUUGGAUUUGCUCAAGACGAACUACUGCGAAAGCAUUCACCAAGGAUGUUUUCAUUAAUCAAGAACGAAAGUCAGGGGAUCGAAGAGGAUUAGAUACCCUCGUAGUCUUGACCAUAAACUACGCCGACUCGGGAUUGGCAGACGUUGUAUCGACUCUGUCAGCACCGUAUGAUAAAUCAAAGUCUUUGGGUUCCGGGGGGAGUAUGGUCGCAAGGCUGAAACUUAAAGGAAUUGACGGAAGGGCACCACCAGGAGUGGAGCCUGCGGCUUAAUUUGACU
rnacentral:rRNA from 1 species